rnacentral:rRNA from 1 species
GGGGGGGCAAGCGUUGUUCGGAUUUACUGGGCGUAAAGGGCUCGUAGGCGGCCACCUAAGUCGGUUGUGAAAUCCCUCGGCUCAACCGGGGAACUGCGACCGAAACUGAGUGGCUUGAAGCCGGGAGAGGGAUGCGGAAUUCCAGGUGUAGCGGUGAAAUGCGUAGAUAUCUGGAGGAACACCCGUGGCGAAGGCGGCAUCCUGGACCGGUCUUGACGCUGAGGAGCGAAAGCUAGGGUAGCAAACGGGAUUAGAUACCCCGGGUAGUCCUAGCCCUAAACGAUGAAUGCUUGGUGUGGCGGGUAUCGAUCCCCUGCCGUGCCGGAGCUAACGCGUUAAGCAUUCCGCCUGGGGAGUACGGUCGCAAGGCUG